rnacentral:lncRNA from 1 species
AAUGUAAAUAGAUUUAGAGAUGUGAGAAAAACGGACGAUGAAGAUAUUAGUAGUUAUGUUUUUCAUGUUCCGAAAUUAGAAAGAUACGCGGAAGUUCACAAACUUUGUCCGUGGUGUUUUGUGGAAUGAACAGUUAUUGGAAAAAAAAACAAGAUCCGUGUCAUGCGUGAAUUAACUCUUUAAUUAUAAUGUUUAUUAUGUAUCAAAAUUUAGGUUUGGA